rnacentral:rRNA from 1 species
GAAUAUUGGACAAUGGGCGCAAGCCUGAUCCAGCCAUACCGCGUGAGUGAAGAAGGCCUUCGGGUUGUAAAGCUCUUUUGUUGGGAAAGAAAUCCUGUUGAUUAAUACUCGACAGGGAUGACGGUACCCAAAGAAUAAGCACCGGCUAACUUCGUGCCAGCAGCCGCGGUAAUACGAAGGGUGCAAGCGUUACUCGGAAUUACUGGGCGUAAAGCGUGCGUAGGUGGUGGUUUAAGUCUGUUGUGAAAGCCCUGGGCUCAACCUGGGAAUUGCAGUGGAUACUGGAUCACUAGAGUGUGGUAGAGGGUGGCGGAAUUCCCGGUGUAGCAGUGAAAUGCGUAGAGAUCGGGAGGAACAUCCGUGGCGAAGGCGGCCACCUGGGCCAACACUGACACUGAGGCACGAAAGCGUGGGGAGCAAACAG